GCGGCGANGGCGAACGGGUGAGUAAUACAUCGGAACGUGCCCAGACGUGGGGGAUAACUACUCGAAAGAGUGGCUAAUACCGCAUACGAUCUAAGGAUGAAAGCGGGGGAUCGCAAGACCUCNCGCGUUUGGAGCGGCCGAUGGCAGAUUAGGUAGUUGGUGGGGUAAAGGCUUACCAAGCCGCGAUCUGUAGCUGGUCUGAGAGGAUGAUCAGCCACACUGGGACUGAGACACGCCCAGACUCCU
rnacentral:rRNA from 1 species